UACGUAGGGUGCGAGCGUUGUCCGGAAUUAUUGGGCGUAAAGAGCUCGUAGGCGGUGUGUCACGUCGGCCGUGAAAACCUGCAGCUUAACUGUGGGCGUGCGGUCGAUACGGGCAUCACUGGAGUUCGGCAGGGGAGACUGGAAUUCUUGGUGUAGCGGUGAAAUGCGUAGAUAUCUGGAGGAACACCGGUGGCGAAGGCGGCAUCCUGGACCGGCAUUGACGCUGAGGCGCGAAAGCCAGGGGAGCAAACGGG
rnacentral:rRNA from 1 species